CCUACGGGAGGCAGCAGUGAGGAAUAUUGGUCAAUGGGCGAGAGCCUGAACCAGCCAAGUCGCGUGAAGGAUGACGGCCCUACGGGUUGUAAACUUCUUUUGUCAGGGAGCAAUUUGGUCCACGCGUGGGCUUAGCGAGAGUACCUGAAGAAAAAGCAUCGGCUAACUCCGUGCCAGCAGCCGCGGUAAGACGUAGGAUGCGAGCGUUAUCCGGAUUUAUGGGGUUUAAAGGGUGCGUAGGCGGAAUAUCAAGUCAGCGGUAAAAAUUCGGGGCUCAACCCCGUCGUGCCGUUGAAACUGAUGUUCUUGAGUGGGCGAGAAGUAUGCGGAAUGCGUGGUGUAGCGGUGAAAUGCAUAGAGAUCACGCAGAACUCCGAUUGCGAAGGCAGCAUACCGGCGCCCAACUGACGCUGAAGCACGAAAGCGUGGGUAUCGAACAGGAUUAGAUACCCCAGUAGUC
rnacentral:rRNA from 1 species